rnacentral:pre_miRNA from 10 species
GUGAGGGCAUGCAGGCCUGGAUGGGGCAGCUGGGAUGGUCCAAAAGGGUGGCCUCACCAGCCCUGUGUUCCCUAG